rnacentral:rRNA from 1 species
UGCAGUCGAACGGCAGCACGGGAGCAAUCCUGGUGGCGAGUGGCGAACGGGUGAGUAAUAUAUCGGAACGUGCCCAAUCGUGGGGGAUAACGCAGCGAAAGCUGUGCUAAUACCGCAUACGAUCUACGGAUGAAAGCGGGGGACUCGCAAGAGCCUCGCGCGAGUGGAGCGGCCGAUAUCAGAUUAGCUAGUUGGUGGGGUAAAAGCUCACCAAGGCGACGAUCUGUAGCUGGUCUGAGAGGACGACCAGCCACACUGGAACUGAGACACGGUCCAGACUCCUACGGGAGGCAGCAGUGGGGAAUUUUGGACAAUGGGCGCAAGCCUGAUCCAGCAAUGCCGCGUGCAGGAUGAAGGCCUUCGGGUUGUAAACUGCUUUUGUACGGAGCGAAAAGGCUCUCUCAAAUAAAGAGAGCUCAUGACGGUACCGUAAGAAUAAGCACCGGCUAACUACGUGCCAGCAGCC